UACAGAGGGUGCGAGCGUUAAUCGGAAUUACUGGGCGUAAAGCGCACGUAGGCGGCUUGGUAUGUCGGGUGUGAAAUCCCGGGCUCAACCUGGGAACUGCAUCCGAAACUGCCUUGCUCGAGUAUGGGAGAGGGAAGUGGAAUUCCAGGUGUAGCGGUGAAAUGCGUAGAUAUCUGGAGGAACACCGGUGGCGAAGGCGACAUCCUGGACCGGCAUUGACGCUGAGGCGCGAAAGCCAGGGGAGCAAAGCGGG
rnacentral:rRNA from 1 species